ACGUAGGGGGCAAGCGUUGUUCGGAUUUACUGGGCGUAAAGGGCGCGUAGGCGGCCAGCGCAAGUCAGUUGUGAAAUCUCCGGGCUUAACUCGGAAAGGUCAACUGAUACUGCGCGGCUAGAGUGCGGAAGGGGCAACUGGAAUUCUCGGUGUAGCGGUGAAAUGCGUAGAUAUCGGGAGGAACACCUGUGGCGAAAGCGGCUCACUGGACCAUAACUGACGCUGAUGCACGAAAGCUAGGGGAGCAAACAGGA
rnacentral:rRNA from 1 species